rnacentral:rRNA from 1 species
UUCGUAGCUGGUUUGUUAAGUCUCUGGGGAAAUCUUCCGGCUUAACCGGAAGGCGUCUCAGGGAUACUGGCAGACUAGGGACCGGAAGAGGUGAGGGGUACUCCAGGGGUAGGAGUGAAAUCCUGUAAUCCUUGGGGGACCACCUGUGGCGAAGGCGCCUCACCAGGACGGCUCCGACAGUGAGGGACGAAAGCUGGGGGAGCAAACC